rnacentral:rRNA from 1 species
UUUAACUUAAAGUAAGACCUGCUCAAUGAUAUUAAAUAGCCGCAGUUGAACUGUGCUAAGGUAGCAUAAUAACUUGCUUCUUAAUUAGAAGAUAGAAUGAAAGGUUACACACUAAAAAUAUGUUUCUUUUAUACUAAAUUAACUUAAAAUAAAAGUUAAAAUUCUUUUAUAUACAUAGCGGGACGACAAGACCCUAACAAACUUAUUAUUUGGUUGGGGAAACAAAUUAAAAACACUUUAGUUUAAUAAAUACCAUAACUUUAAUAUAAAAUAAAGUCUAGUUACUGUAGGGAUAACAGCGUUAUUUCUUUUAAGAGACCUUAUCUAAAAAGAAGAUUACGACCUCGAUGUUGAAUUAGUCAACCUAUAAAACGCAACAGUUUAUAAUAAGGUAGUCUGUUCGACUAUUAAACGACUACAUGAUUUGAGUUCAGAUCGGUGCGAGCCAGAUCGGUUUCUAUCUGCUAUAACCCUUAAGCAAAUAGUACGAAAGGACCUUAGCUUAUGAUAAAAU